rnacentral:rRNA from 1 species
CUACGGGUCGCUGCAGUAGGGAAUAUUGGACAAUGGGCGAAAGCCUGAUCCAGCAACACCGCGUGCACGAUGACGGCCUUCGGGUUGUAAAGUGCUUUUAGAGGAGAUGAGAAAGGACAGUAUCCUCUGAAUAAGCCUCGGCGAACUACGUGCCAGCAGCCGCGGUAAAACGUAGGAGGCAAGCGUUAUCCGGAUUUAUUGGGCGUAAAGCGCGUGCAGGCGGUCUAGCAAGUUGGAUGUGAAAGCUCCCGGCUCAACUGGGAGAGGUCGUUCAAUACUGUUAGACUAGAGAAUAGGAGAGGGAGGUGGAAUUCCGGGUGUAGUGGUGAAAUGCGUAGAUAUCCGGAGGAACACCAGUGGCGAAAGCGGCCUCCUGGACUAUUUCUGACGCUAAGACGCGAAAGCUAGGGUAGCAAACGGGAUUAGAUACCCUCGUAGUC